AACGCUAGCUACAGGCUUAACACAUGCAAGUCGAGGGGCAGCAUGGUCUUAGCUUGCUAAGGCCGAUGGCGACCGGCGCACGGGUGAGUAACACGUAUCCAACCUGCCGUCUACUCUUGGACAGCCUUCUGAAAGGAGGAUUAAUACAAGAUGGCAUCAUGAGUCCGCAUGUUCACAUGAUUAAAGGUAUUCCGGUAGACGAUGGGGAUGCGUUCCAUUAGAUAGUAGGCGGGGUAACGGCCCACCUAGUCUUCGAUGGAUAGGGGUUCUGAGAGGAAGGUCCCCCACAUUGGAACUGAGACACGGUCCAAACUCCUACGGGAGGCAGCAGUGAGGAAUAUUGGUCAAUGGGCGAGAGCCUGAACCAGCCAAGUAGCGUGAAGGAUGACUGCCCUAUGGGUUGUAAACUUCUUUUAUAAAGGAAUAAAGUCGGGUAUGGAUACCCGUUUGCAUGUACUUUAUGAAUAAGGAUCGGCUAACUCCGUGCCAGCAGCCGCGGUAAUACGGAGGAUCCGAGCGUUAUCCGGAUUUAUUGGGUUUAAAGGGAGCGUAGAUGGAUGUUUAAGUCAGUUGUGAAAGUUUGCGGCUCAACCGUAAAAUUGCAGUUGAUACUGGAUAUCUUGAGUGCAGUUGAGGCAGGCGGAAUUCGUGGUGUAGCGGUGAAAUGCUUAGAUAUCACGAAGAACUCCGAUUG
rnacentral:rRNA from 1 species